AUUGAACGCUGGCGGCAGGCCUAACACAUGCAAGUCGAGCGGAUGAAGGGAGCUUGCUCCUGGAUUCAGCGGCGGACGGGUGAGUAAUGCCUAGGAAUCUGCCUGGUAGUGGGGGAUAACGUCCGGAAACGGGCGCUAAUACCGCAUACGUCCUGAGGGAGAAAGUGGGGGAUCUGCGGACCUCACGCUAUCAGAUGAGCCUAGGUCGGAUUAGCUAGUUGGUGGGGUAAAGGCCUACCAAGGCGACGAUCCGUAACUGGUCUGAGAGGAUGAUCAGUCACACUGGCACUGAGACACGGUCCCGACUCCUACGGGAGGCAGCAGUGCGGAAUAUUGGACGAAGGGCGAAUGGCUGAUCCAGCCAUGCCGCGUGUGUGAAGAAGGUCUUCGGAUUGUAAAGCACUUUAAGUUGGGAGGAAGGGCAGUAAGUUAAUACCUUGCUGUUUUGACGUUACCCACGGAAUAAGCACCGGCUAACUUCGUG
rnacentral:rRNA from 1 species